rfam:Triticum aestivum genome assembly, contig: Triticum_aestivum_CS42_TGACv1_scaffold_641173_T_4BL-0.141774_4BS-0.073656
AUUCUACUCCCUCCGCUCCACAAUACAUGCCUUCUAUUUGUCAAAAUAUAGAUGUAUCUAGACAUGUUUUAGUAUAUAGGUACAUCCAUUUUUGGACAAAUAGAAGUCAAGUAUUUUGGAACGGAGGGAGUACACA